UAUCUGGUUGAUCCUGCCAGUAUUAUAUGCUGAUGUUAAAGAUUAAGCCAUGCAUGUGUAAGUAUAAAGACCAAGUAGGAUGAAACUGCGGACGGCUCAUUAUAACAGUAAUAGUUUCUUUGGUUAGUAAAAUACAAGGAUAGCUUUGUGAAUGAUAAAGAUAAUACUUGAGACGAUCCAGUUUGUAUUAGUACAAAAUGGCCAAUUCAUUCAAUGAAUUGAGAAAUGACAUUCUAAGUGAGUUAGGAUGCCACGACAAUUGUAGAACACACAGUGUUUAACAAGUAACCAAUGAGAAUUUCUGAUCUAUCAAUCAGUUGGUAGUAUCGAGGACUACCAAGAUUAUAACGGAUAACGAGGAAUUGGGGUUCGACAUCGGAGAGGGAGCUUUACAGAUGGCUACCACUUCUAAGGAAGGCAGCAGGCGCGUAAAUUACCCACUUUCGAAUUGAAGAGGUAGUGACGACACAU
rnacentral:rRNA from 1 species